AGAGUUUGAUCCUGGCUCAGAUUGAACGCUGGCGGCAUGCCUUACACAUGCAAGUCGAACGGCAGCACGGAGCUUGCUCUGGUGGCGAGUGGCGAACGGGUGAGUAAUAUAUCGGAACGUACCCUAGAGUGGGGGAUAACGUAGCGAAAGUUACGCUAAUACCGCAUACGAUCUAAGGAUGAAAGUGGGGGAUCGCAAGACCUCAUGCUCGUGGAGCGGCCGAUAUCUGAUUAGCUAGUUGGUAGGGUAAAAGCCUACCAAGGCAUCGAUCAGUAGCUGGUCUGAGAGGACGACCAGCCACACUGGAACUGAGACACGGUCCAGACUCCUACGGGAGGCAGCAGUGGGGAAUUUUGGACAAUGGGCGAAAGCCUGAUCCAGCAAUGCCGCGUGAGUGAAGAAGGCCUUCGGGUUGUAAAGCUCUUUUGUCAGGGAAGAAACGGUGAAAGCUAAUAUCUUUUGCUAAUGACGGUACCUGAAGAAUAAGCACCGGCUAACUACGUGCCAGCAGCCGCGGUAAUACGUAGGGUGCAAGCGUUAAUCGGAAUUACUGGGCGUAGAGCGUGCGCAGGCGGUUUUGUAAGUCUGAUGUGAAAUCCCCGGGCUCAACCUGGGAAUUGCAUUGGAGACUGCAAGGCUAGAAUCUGGCAGAGGGGGGUAGAAUUCCACGUGUAGCAGUGAAAUGCGUAGAUAUGUGGAGGAACACCGAUGGCGAAGGCAGCCCCCUGGGUCAAGAUUGACGCUCAUGCACGAAAGCGUGGGGAGC
rnacentral:rRNA from 1 species